rnacentral:rRNA from 1 species
GUCUUGUUGAGUAUAAUUUCAAGUCUGACCUGCCCAGUGAAUAUUUAAAUGGCCGCGGUAUUUUGACCGUGCAAAGGUAGCAUAGUCACUAGUUUUUUAAUUGAAAGCUUGAAUGAAAGGUUUGAUGAAAAAAAGACUGUCUCUGUAAAAAUUUAUUAGAAUUUUAUUUUUAAGUUAAAAAGCUUAAAUUUUAAUGGAAGACGAGAAGACCCUAUAGAGUUUUAUAUUUUUGGAAUAAGGAUAUUUAAGGAUUUAGAAAUUUCAUUAUUUGUAGAAGUAUUUUGUUGGGGUGAUAGGAAAAUUAAAUGAACUUUUCUUUAUUUAUACAUUUAUUUAUGGAUGAAUGAUCUUAAAGUUUAGAUUAUAAGAUUGAAUUACCUUAGGGAUAACAGCGUAAUUUUUUUAAGAGUUCUUAUCGAAAAAAAAGAUUGCGACCUCGAUGUUGGAUUAAAAUUAAUUAUUGGUGAAGAAGCUGAUAAAUUAGGUCUGUUCGACCUUUUAAAUUUUACAUGAUCUGAGUUUAAACCGGUGUGAG